GCCGUAAAGCUGUAGGCAAUAUUCCUUAUGUUUUUCUUUUUUCUUCCAUACGUAUAGCAUCCUUUACUCUUUUUCUCGGCACUGUAAGUUCCGCAUAACUUUACCUCUUUUCACUCUUCCGCAAUUCUUAUACAUCUCCCUGUUACGAUCAAAAUCUUCUUCAUUCUCCUUGACUAUAGCGUACACAGUUACACUGGUGUUCCGUUGAAGGAGUCUGUAUACGUUGGAAUCCCGCAAUGGAUCGUCGAUACUGGAUAACGUCGAAUGGAUACGAUGUGAAUUAUAAAAAUCUCACGAUCGAUCUUUCCCACUUUCGUAUCGAUGUUAUUGGUGCAUCUGUAAUAUUCGACUGCAAGGGUACAAUGGGAUGUGUGAAGAAAAUGGUGCAAAAAAGCGAUAGCUAUAGCAUCGCCUCAAACCCUUUCUUCAAUGUUAUACAGUGUUGCUACUACUUGUGAUGAUCGUCCCCAGGUGCCCGAAGAAAUAAUCACUUCAGUGGCUGUCGACCAAAGACAUCCCACUCAACCUUCUCUCCCCUAUACUGCAGGCUGCGGAGGCUACAAGUCUUGGUCGUCCUCUUCUUCUUUUUCGUCACCGCUUGAUGUGGUUGUGAAUGUAAAUCUAUAAAGUGGAGGUGGCGUAGAUGUGGAUGAGGAUGAGGAUGAAAGGGGGAAGGGGUAACCAACCAUCCAACCACCCCCGGGGAAUCAAUAACCGACAAGAGUUCCAGCUCGAGCUGGAGACCGACCGCGACGGUGGGGAUUUUGCCACGCCCACGGCACGCGACCAGCACGCGACCGGGGUGCAAGGGUGCUUCUUCCGUCUACUACCCCUCCACCUCUACCUUCUCAACCACUCCUUUCGCUUCUUAUUCCUCUACGCAAAAAUUGAGGGUCCUACUCCGAUUCUUGAGCUAUAAGACAGCUGAGCAACCACCUCCCGGGGUUGAAAAGUCUCUGUGGAAACCAAGAAAAUACAAUUUUCAUUUCCAAGAAUAAUAUGGGGAGAUACGAUAACGUUUCAUGCAGCCUUUUCUAUUGCGGGAUUUGUUUGAGGGUAGUGACGAAAUAAAAAGGGUUGGCGUAAAGUGGUCUUUGCGUACGGGAGAUAAUCUAGGUGUGUUACACAUCGCAGGUGCUGGUAAGAUUGUGGUUUCACGAUCAUUUGGUUACUUACGUAUACAUAUUUUACAGGGCGCGUGCCACGUCGGCGUGCGCAUAGAGAACUUCUGAUCGAUCGGACGGACGUUCGUCGUUCCCCUGCAGCAGCGGCAGAAGCGACACAUUACAAACCAACACUACUUUGUUCGACGAAAGUAUUUGGAGUUUUCUUUUUCUUCUUUUUCUUCUCCCUCUUCUUGUCAUUACCUAUUUCUUCGUUUGUGUCGCAUCGUUUCCGCCAAGUAGCCGCUGCGUCAGUAGGUACUAAACCGAGCAGACGACGCGCGUGAAAGACAAUCGACGAUCCAUGCGAUGAAAUCAUGCGGAGAAAUCGAUCAAUCCAUUCAUCACCGUUACUGUAGUAUCGUUUUCCUCAUGUGAGAAUUACCGAUGUAAAAAUACACAUACUACAAAUGUGUGUGUGUAUGGUUAGACGGCAAUUUAAUAACACCUGUUCAUAUCCUUUUUUUUUUUUUUACAGAAUUAUAUAAACGCACGUCAUCCGUCUCGUCAACGACCGAUAAUUUGGGGGUCCCAAACCGGUUCAGUUGUACAAGCGGAGCUUUUCGUCGUUUUUCCUCAAGAAUGUAAUAAUUCAGAACCCUUGUCUGACGUUCUCUGGGAACCGGGAGAAGAUCCCCCCCCUCCCCUCGUAUCUCAAGCGCUAAACCACGGCGUAUACAUAUGUAUAGUUGCGGACUGAUGGGAUCUGAAGUGCGAGAGAGAAAACUGAGAUUUUCCCCGCGCGAUUUCUAACCUCGGUUACAUAUGUGGAGAUAUCUGGAAAUUUCACUCAUGUUUCUAGCCAAUGAAAACCGAAUUUUUGCAGGUCCUCACAUUUUGUGUGCUUGAAAAAAAAAGAAUAGAAAAACGGACCGCUGCACCGGUGAGAGCAUUACUCUCUGUAUGUUGUGUAUACCUAUGGAAAAUCUAAUAUCCGAUCGUGAAAAAGCUGCUGGAGGUUGUGAGAGGAUUCAUAAAUCUGGAGUGCGCGGAAGAAACACGCGCUCGGGGUAUGGUGAGUGGCGUAUUGCAAAGGAGAGAAAACGUAGGAGAUUGGAGGGGAAGGAAGAAAAAAAAUCAAAGUGGAGAAAUAGAAAUGUCAUUCAUGUAUCUACCUUCUACGUAGCAAGAGAAGAAGAAAGGUGAAAAAAACGAUUCGCAAGUGCCGCGAAAAACGAAACCGAAAAGAUGUAUACGUAUAGGGUCGUACUGCAGAGUGAAAAGUAAAGAAGGAAACGCCGCUUGAUGUACCGAAGAGUGAUAUUUCUUGCUGCUAUCGCUUAGAUAAGCAAAAUAAAACGGAGAAUACGAAGAAAGAGAACAGACGAGAUGCAUAUUGCCGUUAUUUAUUUACUCAUUCAUUCUGGAUUUGUGAUAUUAUGUAUACACAAUGCAUGAAUAUAACCGACAAUUUUCUCCUCUUUUCCGUACAUCGAUUUCCUGGUAGCCGGAAGAAGAGCAGAGUAUAAGUUUCGAAUGUGGAACUUAAUACGCACAACAAUACCGUAUUGUUAUUCGAAUACUUAACAGUAUAAUGUAUGUAAUAAUAUACAGCUGUACGUUCACGAGUAAUGUAAUAGGUAUAUUGAUAUUAGAUAUACAUAUAUUCAUAUACGCAUACGUAUUUGUGUACGAUGGUAACGAGUCGGAAACCGAAAAAACCUUUUAAAGUAAUAAGGUUGAAGUCAUAACUUCGCAUAAGCAAACUGGCGGGGAAGUGCUAUGCCGUGUUUGGGAAGCUUGAUUUGUUCGCCCCUUCAGAUUGACGUUACUUUUCUGCUACAACGUUUCUGCUACCGUUAGGUGUCCACAUUCGCAUUGUAUAUAUAUAUAACAUUGAAAUAACUGUAUAUUAUAAACACAUACUCAUGUAUGUGGACCUAUACACUAGAUUUAUAUGCGUAUGUACAGCGCAACCCUUUUUUCAUUUCAUUUCAUUUCAUUUUAUUUUAUUUUAUUAGGAUUACGUUACAUUUCAUUUCAAAGUUUAUUUUUUUUUUAUUUGGCUGAGUUUGCUUUCCAUUUCCACGCAUAAUAAAUAAUGAUAAUAAUAAACGGUAACAGUAAUUUAGGUGCGAUGUUAGGUGUACUCUUUGCGUUACUUAUGCGAGUCCAAAGCCUGUAUAUAUCGAGCAUUCCCACCAUUUUCAUACCCCUUAUAUUAAUAUGGAUUUCACAUGUUUCUAUUUAACGGGCUUUUCCCAAUUAACAACAAUUGAAAUAUACACCCUGCUUGAUCUUUACCGGCUUUUUCACCCCACUGCAUAUACAUACACGAACAAUAAAACAUCAACGUCGCUAAUUACGAAACUAAAUUAUAAUAUCCUUCAAAAAUGAAAAUUCGAAAUGGGAAAUACGAUGAUUUCUGUGAAGAAGGGUCAAGGGUGACGGUUUUAAAACUCAAUUUAUGUCUACACAACGUGGUGUGAAAAGAAGGUGGUAAAUAGCGUUGUAAGUAGGUAGCUUACACUAGGGGAAUCCAGUCCCCUCGAAGCAUUGUUGCGUUUACUCGAUAAAAUAUAGCGUGAAACAUGGUAAAACCUUAGGAAAUUAAAAGUUCAAAGUGUUCAACCAUCCCGAAUGGUCAUUAAAACCUGCACGAAACUCCAUGUUCUGAUUCUUGGAUGUUGCGGUACUUGUAUGUAUAGUUGGUUAUGGUCUAAUAUUUGAUCGCUUUGCCACUAGACUGUAGUAGUAGGCUCGCUUGUAGGAUUGCAGGUAUCGAUGGAUGGAUUGAAAUGAAGGCAGAUUGAUGCUCGGGCCAAUAUCGGAUGAUUUAACGUUUAUGGUUCGAAAGCCUGCAAAACAACUGGAAAGUGGCUGAUCACAGCGCAUUCUUUGCCUAAUAUUUGAUCGCUUGGGGAUUAGUGAUUUUGAGAAUCGCAAGCAGAGUUGACCAAGAUGAUUGAACCGAAGCAGAUUAGUAUGGAGGCAAAUAUUGGGUAGGUAGGUAGCAUUCAUGCUACACUCAGCGACAAAAUUAACGGCGCACCCGGCACUCGGCGGAAUAAUACCGAUUUUCAAAAUACUGUAACUUGAUGAAAAAAUGUGACAAAAAUCAUUCUGCGAAGCAUCUGAAAGAUCGAAAUUUCGACUUAAAAAUGGUUCUUAAGAAUCCUUUUCAGGGUCAUUUUUG